CCUACGGGAGGCAGCAGUGAGGAAUAUUGGUCAAUGGACGCAAGCCUGAACCAGCCAUGCCGCGUGAGGGAAGAAGGCCCUAUGGAUUGUAAACCGCUUUUGUACGGGGGCAAACUCAGCUACGUGUGGCUGUUUGAGAGUACCUUACGAAUAAGCAUCGGCUAACUCCGUGCCAGCAGCCGCGGUAAUACGGAGGAUGCGAGCGUUAUCCGGAUUUAUUGGGUUUAAAGGGUGCGUAGGCGGGUGGGUAAGUUAGAGGUGAAAUCCCGAGGAUCAACUUCGGAAAGGCAGGUGAUAAGGGUAGGCGAGAGAGGAGUUGAGGUAGGCAGAAGGUAGGGUGUAGAGGGGAAAUGCGUAGAGAUCAUACAGAACACCGAUUGAGAAGGAAGCUAAACAAGGUACGUCUGACGUUGAGGCACGAAAGAGUGGGGAGCAAACAGGAUUAGAUAACCGAGUAGUC
rnacentral:rRNA from 1 species